GACUGGAUGGGAUAGUGGUUAUUCCGCCUCUCUCACACUAUAACAACAGUUAUUAAGUACAGAGGAAGCCGCGAGUUCGAUCCUCGCUCUGGUCA